GAUGAAGAACGUAGCGAAAUGCGAUAAGUAAUGUGAAUUGCAGAAUUCAGUGAAUCAUCGAAUCUUUGAACGCACAUUGCGCCCUCUGGUAUUCCGGGGGGCCUGCCUGUUCGAGCGUCAUUAUAACCACUCAAGCUCUCGCUUGGUAUUGGGGUUCGCGGUUUCGCGGCCCCUAAAAUCAGUGGCGGUGCCUGUCGGCUCUACGCGUAGUAAUACUUCUCGCGAUUGAGUUCGAUAGGUCUACUUGCCAGUAACCCCCAAUUUUUACAGGUUGACCUCGGAUCAGGUAGGGAUACCCGCUGAACUUAAGCAUAUCAAUAAGCGGAGGA
rnacentral:misc_RNA from 1 species